UUAUAUUAUAUUUCUAUUAUAAUGAUUUAGAAACACAAGUUGGUUUCAGUGAUUUCUUACACAAGUAUCAUAAAGAGAUUAAUUUUAUCAAAAGAAAGGUUCAUUGCAUCAUGAGGGAGAUUCAUUAUAUCAAGAGGAAAAAUAAAUUAAAUGUCUAUGGACAAGUCAAAUUGGUUAUUGGCACUUGAAAUGUUUCUUGAAAGAAAAUGAUUCAUUUUGAUUAUAAUUAAUGUAAUAUAUCUUUGGGAACUAUUUUAACCUCAUAUGCUGGGUCAUGAAAUAUAUAGAGUUUCUGUAAAGAGAUUUUUUGAGAGAAAUAUAGAAGAUUGAAACAUGUUCUACUCUUCCUCUAUUUGAUAACUUUAUCUCUUCCUCUUAUCGAGUUCAAUAUUUGGUAUCAGAGCAUAAGUUAAACUAUGGUCUCUUCCUCAAGGACCAUUCAACUCUAGAUCCCCAUAUUGACAAAAGAAAAAUAUGACAUAUGGUGCAUCCAAAUGAAGAUUUUUCUAGGCUCCUAAGAUGUAUGUGAGUUUGUAGAAAAUAGAUUUGUUGAACCAUAUCCAGCAGAAGAAGGAACAACGAAUGUAGAAGGAAGAAAACAACUCAAAGAAAGAAGGAAGAAUGAGAAAAUUGCCUUGUUCACGAUCUACCAAGGACGUGAUGAUACAAUGUUCGAGAUCAUUGCUCCAGCAAAUACUUCAAAGGAGGCUUGGGAAAUGCUUCAAAAAGCAUUUGGUGGUAUUGAUAAGGUAAUCUCCACAAAGUGGAGGAGAGUCGUGGCUCAUAUUUGUCUUCCUCCUCGACCGACGAAGAUGUUGUGCCCUCAUAAAUUCCAACACAAGGCAGCAGGCUCUCCGCCACCUCGCAUGUUUAAUUAGUCUUGACAUAAAAUAAGAAUGGGGAGUCUGAGUCUGCAAUCACUUGUUCCAGAUGAUGAGCUGAUGGUUCGCAAGUCUGUAAGCUAUCGUCCGAACGUUUGGGGCGACUACUUUAUCCAACAUGGUCAGUCCGUUACUCCAACAUCGGUAUGUAACCCGGCCAUCCUAUUUGCCAAAGAUGUUUCCAGUUUUCAGCAAGAUGGUCACCUGGAAAGAGGGGUGUUGAUAAUUUAGCUCCAGCUAAAUGGCACUCAUGCUUAAACUGGUCCUUCAUCGACAUAGUUGGGGUUUCCUGCGGUUUCAGUACCAUGAAAAAUCUCCCUUUUCUCGCCUAUUGCAGGAGGAGUGUGAGACAACGAUAAAAGAGAGAGUUGCGGAACUGAAGGAGCAGAUAAGAAGCAUGUCCAAGGAUCCUACUGACAUCUUGCAAACUAUGAAUUUGGUCGAUUCAAUCCAGCUUCUUGGAUUGGAUUAUUGCUUCGAGAAGGAAAUAAGUGAAGCGUUAAACCAUAUCUAUGAUGCCCAUAUUGACGACCAUGGUCUUUACGACCCUGCUCUCCGAUUUGGACUGCUGAGACAACAAGGAUAUUAUGUCUCCCCUGGUAACAUGUUCAUUUCCUUCAGUAGCUGGAUUUGUAUGUUUUGUCCUGAUAAUUGUGUUUUUACCUUGUCUUACAGACAAAAUUUGGACUUUGUUGGCACCAUUUACUCAAUCCAACUUGGCAAUACUAUAUCUACACGUAUCAAAGA